AAACCCACAACUCCUCAAGGUCAGCCAUGGGGAAGAGCUAGGAGCUCAGAAUCCAACCAGCAAGAGGACAUUUUAAAACAGGGAGGGAGUAUUCAUGUGACUUGGGAACUACUGAACAGACUUGGAUUCUGAAACAAAUAAUAUGAAAUGGACACUGCAGCCUCCAUUUCCUAGUGAGGAUGGUGGAGUUUAGUGGAGAGACACAGAGCUUCUACACUAUUUUAGGUGCAGUGAACAAAGCAGUCAAAAAUCUGUUUUUUUUUAAGUUCACAUCCUAAUAGAUGAAGAUUGAAAAGAAAUAUGUCAAGCAAGUAAAUAUGCUUCAUAUUAAAUUCUGACAAUGCUAUGGAGAAAAAGCAUGGGGGUGGUUAGAAGGGAAAAAAUCUCACUCCAUAAACGCUACAACUAAUAAGUCUGGGGAUGCCAGGCAAGAAGGAGAUGACGGGGUAGAUAAUGGUUACUUUGUAAUUUUCUGGAAGAUCAUGCUGGUUCUACUAGAAGACUUUUACCUCACAUGAUUGGAUGCUCCUCAAGCUGAACUUCUUCCAUUUGUGAUAGUAUUUGGACCAUUUCUAGAAUAUGUUAUAAGAUUUUUAUAAGAUUGUCUUUCCAAUUAAAGUUUUAGGUUAAAGUUCUCAUUUGAAUCAGAUUAUUUCAAAUAUAAGAAAAUUUGUGAUAAGCAUUGAAGAUAGAAAUUGGCAAACAUAUGUCCCUCUCCCAGAGAUAACAGGUGGUAGGUUAUUAAGAGUUACUUGUUGAGCUGAGCAGUGGAGGCAUACAUGAAGGAAUGAUCAGUUCCACCUGGGAAAGCAUGGGAAAGCUUCAGAAAGAAUGAAACACUUAGAUUGAAGAAAAAGAAUAAAUCAGUAAUCAACAAUAAUUUAAACAACUAA
rnacentral:lncRNA from 10 species